rnacentral:rRNA from 1 species
UACAGAGGGUGCGAGCGUUGUUCGGAAUUAUUGGGCGUAAAGCGCGCGCAGGCGGUUUCUUAAGUCUGAUGUGAAAGCCCACGGCUCAACCGUGGAGGGUCAUUGGAAACUGGGGAACUUGAGUGCAGAAGAGAAGAGCGGAAUUCCACGUGUAGCGGUGAAAUGCGUAGAGAUGUGGAGGAACACCAGUGGCGAAGGCGGCUCUUUGGUCUGUAACUGACGCUGAGGCGCGAAAGCGUGGGGAGCAAACAGG